AGAGAGAGACAUGCGCGCAUAUCAAUAAGCGGAGGAAAAGAAACUAACUAGGAUUCCCUCAGUAACGGCGAGUGAAGCGGGAAGAGCUCAAAUUUGAAAUCUUCAAGGUUCUACCUUGACGAAUUGUAGUUUAAAGAAGUGUUUUCUGUUGGAGUUUUGGUAAAAGUUCUUUGGAAUAGGACAUCAUAGAGGGUGAGAAUCCCGUAUUUGACCAUUAUUUCCAGCUUUGUGAUACACUUUCAAAGAGUCGGAUUGUUUGGGAAUGCAGUCCAAAAUGGGUGGUAAAUUUCAUCUAAAGCUAAAUAUUGGCGAGAGACCGAUAGCGAACAAGUACCGUGAGGGAAAGAUGAAAAGAACUUUGAAAAGAGAGUUAAACAGUACGUGAAAUUGUCAAAAGGGAAGCGUUUGACACCAGUGUUGUUUUCUCGAAAAUCAAUUAAAAAAGGCAGGAUUUUGUGUUGUAUUGACUUUAUCAGCUUUCUGCACUCUUUUCUUGUCUUUUUUAAUGCACUUUUCGUUUAACAAGUCAACAUCAAUUUCUUUUGUUGUAAAAGGGUCAUUGGAAGGUGGCUUUCUUUUCGGAGAAAGUGUUUAUAGCCUUUGGCCUCUGCAAUCGGAGAGAUUGAGGUCUGCAGCGUAGAUCCUUCGGGGUUAGAUACAUUUGUGCUAAGUUAUAGCCUUUCAUAGACAACAUUGUUGACUAUGAUCAGUCAUGUAGCUUACUCGCUUAUGCUAUUUUACCUACGCUUAGGAUGUUGAUGUGAUACUGCGAGC
rnacentral:rRNA from 1 species